rnacentral:rRNA from 1 species
GAUGAACGCUGGCGGCGUGCCUAAUACAUGCAAGUCGAGCGAACAGACCAGGAGCUUUCUCCUCUGACGUUAGCGGCGGACGGGUGAGUAACACGUGGAUAACCUACCUAUAAGACUGGGAUAAAUUCGGGAAACCGGAGCUAAUAACGGCUAAUAUAUUGAACCGCAUGGUUCAAUAGUGAAAGACGGUUUUGCUGUCACUUAUAGAUGGAUUCGCGCCGCAUUAGCUAGUUGGUAAGGUAACGGCUUACCAAGGCAACGAUCCGGAGCCGACGUGAGAGGGGGAGCAGCCACACUGGAACUGAGACACGAUCCAGACUCCUACGGGAGGCGACAGUAGGGAAUGUUCCGCAAUGGGCGAAAGCUUGACGGAGCAACGCCGCGUGAGGGAUGAAGGUCUUCGGAUCGUAAAACUCUGUUAUUAGGGAAGAACAAAUGUGUAAGUAACUAUGCACGUCUUGACGGUACCGAAUCAGAAAGCCACGGCUAACUACGUG